rnacentral:rRNA from 1 species
AAACCAACAGGGAUUGCCUCAGUAACGGCGAGUGAAGCGGCAAAAGCUCAAAUUUGAAAAUCUAACACUUUCAGUGUUCGAGUUGUAAUUUGAAGAAAGUUUCUCUGAGUAGUCCUUUAUCUAUGUUCCUUGGAACAGGACGUCAUAGAGGGUGAGAAUCCCGUAUGAUUUUGGAUACUAUUCUUUGUGAGAUUCUUUCGAAGAGUCGAGUUGUUUGGGAAUGCAGCUCUAAGUGGGUGGUAAAUUCCAUCUAAAGCUAAAUAUUGGCGAGAGACCGAUAGCGAACAAGUACAGUGAUGGAAAGAUGAAAAGAACUCUGAAGAGAGAGUGAAAAGUACGUGAAAUUGCUGAAAGGGAAGGGCUUUAGGUCAGACUUGGUGUUUAAAUGAUUAUCUUCUCUUUUUGAGUUGUGCACUCGUUUUUCACUGGGCCAAUAUCAGUUUUUGUGGUAGAGCACCUACUGGAAUGUAGCUUUUCUUCGGAUGAGUGUUAUAGCCUUUAGACGAUCUU